rnacentral:piRNA from 1 species
UGACAGUAAUCAGUCAUCUCACAGUUUGC